UUUAAACGUCGUCGUCCUUAAACUUGUACCUAAUCAAAAACUUGUCGUCUCUCUCAAAAUCAAGCUUCACCUUCUCUCUCUCUCUCAAUCAAGCUUCACCGUCUCUCUCUCUCAAUCAAGCUUCGCCAUCUCUCUUUCUGAGGUUCUCUCUCAGGAAGCAGAUCUCUGGCAGAAAACCCAUCACACGAUCAGAUGGAUUUGCAGUCACUUAACACACUUGCACAACUCGAGGCUUUAAAUGAGCAAAUGGAUGAGGACAUAGAGGAGGAUGAAGCUGAACCUCAAGCAGCCCACAGUGAAACUCAAGAGACUCUACAACCAGCGAUAGGUGUAGGGUCAGAUGGAAAGAAGAGAGUAAAAUAUUGAUUUUCAUUUGCACUCGUAACUGGCUUCGAGGUUAUGCAGACUUUGAAGGUGAUAUUGAAAAAUUCUUUGAUGAUGAUGAGGAAGCUACACGAUGAGAUUCAAGUGUGAGAGCUUGAGAUUCAAGUGAUGUUUUAUGUUUUCACUUAUAUUAUGAGACCAUCUUGUUUUUUUUUUUGUGUUAAGACUUGGAUAAAUCAAAGUUUUACUUUGUUAUCUACGAUUCCUUAGUAGAUGGAUGGAGAUUUGACUUCAUUCUUUU